CACAAAUUCAGUAAAACUUUUCACUUAUUUUUAUUUUGACUGUUUCAAAAGACAUCACAGUAAAAAAACAAACAACUCCAUGAUCAGUGAAGUAGCCUGAGAGUUUCUCGGAGUCUCACCACAGUCCAGUUUGACAUCCUCAGCACUGAUUUUUGUCUUUCGAUGUGUCAAAUAUGAAAAACUAAUUGUGUCUCUUCUUGCCUUUCAGGACUCAUCCCCGGCAGAUCCUGGAGUUGAUUUUCCUGAUUUUAGCCGUAGAAAUGUUUAGAGUCUGGAUUUAUUAUUUCACCUUUUCAGUGUUUAGAGACUUAAGUCACGAUUAAAAGUGAAGAUUUGGGACAAUUUGAUCAUUUACUUAAAAGCUUUUAAGUUUCAUCAGUCAGCAGUUAAUUUAAAAUAGUUUAGAUUGAAUCAUUUUCUAGUUGGAAUUAUCUUUGGACUGUAAAUCUUUGCUUUUAAAUGGAAAUGUUGGUGCGCUCAAGUGCAAGUGGUGGUCAGUUUGGAUAUAACCUGUUUGUUUCCUGAGAAACUUGUGAUUAACGACUGCACAUUAAAGGUUUAAAAAGGACCAGGUCUGAUGUUUUUAUUGAUUUUUCUAAGCAGACACUCAUUAACAGUUACAGAUAAAACUCACAUUUAAUAUUAAUACUAUUUAAAAUGUGUAUUUUAUCAUUUCAAUCAUUGCUUUUAUAAUUUUUUUACAUGUAGACUUUGUUUAUGUUAAAUUUCAUAUGAAAAUCAUUUUUCUAUCACAGUGCUCCACAUUAACAAAUUGAUGGUUGGUAAAAGUAAAGUUAAAACUACAAACUAAAUAAGUGCAACAACGGCUUGUUACAUGAUCCAGAUGAAGCAGCCGAUCACCACUUAGUGCUGCCCUAUAAUAUUUUUUUUCCAGUUAUAUUAUGACAUUUUAUCAUACUAUAGAAUAGUUUUUUGGAUUAAAUAUAACAUCUUUAACUUACUUUACUAUGAUUUUUUAUCAUACUUUGAUUUUUUUUAAUAUAUUUUUUA
rnacentral:lncRNA from 1 species